CACGUCAUGUGGCUUCUCCCCGGAGAAGGCGACCAAGGCCUCGAAUCUCCUCGGCGGCAUCGCGUCCCGCCGGCAGCCCGACUCCGUCCUUGGCUUUCUCAAAAGCCACGGUUUCGACGACACCCAUGUGAAAGAGCUGCUGUCUGGGAACCCCCGGUGGCUUCUCCUCGACGUGGAGAAGACCCUGGCCGCCAAGUUCCGAGCUCUCCAGGAGUUAGGCUUCUCACAGUCCGACAUCACCCAACUCGUCCUGACCAAUCCCUCCGCAAUCAACUACCACAUCCGCACCGUCGUGCACAGGAUCCGGUUUUGGCAGGGACUCAUCGGAUCCAACGACCUCCUCAUAAAGCUCUGUAAUCACCACCAGUGGCUUCUCGGGUAUAGCGUCGAGAAGAGGAUCCAGCCAAACAUCGAUAUGCUACGGAGCUGUGGAUUCACGGAUCAAAAGCUUAGAACGAUCCUGGGGUACCACCCCACGUUGGUAACCCAGAGGGCGGAAACCUUGAGGACCUUGAUCAGUCGUGUCGAGGGAUUCGGAGUAGCCCGCACCUCGCCGAGGUUCCACUUGACUCUGUGGAUGCUCUCCAAUGUUAGCGUGGAGAGAUUCAAUGCGCAAAAGAAGCUAUUCGGGGCCUUCGGGUGGUCAGAGGCCGACUUCCUCGACGCAUUCAAAAAGACUCCUGGUUUCUUGACAAGUUCCUUGAAGAAUCUGAAGAUGAAAAUGGAAUUCUUGGUGAAUGAGGCUGGAUAUGCUCCGUCUUAUAUCGCCCUCCGGCCUGUGCUUUUGACAUAUAGUUUAGAGAAAAGGGUGAUCCCAAGAUAUCAGCUCAUGGCAGCCCUGAAGUCCAGGGGGCUGUGCGCUGGUCAUCCCAAAUUGUUCACAUAUAUCUCGUGUUCAGAGAAGAAGUUCUUGGAAAGGUAUGUCAUCAUCUACAAGAAGCAGUUUCCGGAGCUCAUUGAAUUGUACAGUGCGAGAAAAUAGUAGUUCUGGAUUUGCUAGCUGUAGAUUUUGGUUCCUGCAAUCCAUGGUUUCAGGUUCCAGCCUUUUACCCUCUGCUUAACUUGAUCUGCAGUUUGAGACUUAUUAGUAUUAUGAUUUAUGUCAUUUGCUUCCUUUUUUUCUGGUGCAUUAAGAGGAAUGUAGCUGCAUACAUGUAGAAAGAAAGGAAAGCAAUAUGAAGUGGAACACAAUGACUUCUUGUAGCAUGUUGAUUCGGUCAAUUGUUUCCUGAUAAUUACCUGCAUAGGAAAAAUUAGAUACUGUAGGAAUUUGUAGGAAUUGAGACUGUUGUCCCAUUCUUUUUUUUUAACCUACUUCUGGGAACACAUUUGGCAGACGUGUGUGCUUGUGUGUGUGUGUCGUGGUGACUAUGAAACUGAAACAAAUUCUUUGUUUGAUCUAUGGCUCUCCUUGAUGUGCAUUGAAGUAGAUGCUUUGCUUAUGUUGUAGCUGAUAUCAUUAUGUUAUCAUGAAGAAUUUUGAGAUGAUGGUUUCAAAGGUCACAUUACUAUUACACUAUGGAGUUAUGGUUGCAUCGUUUUUUUCUCCUUUGAUGAAAAAUUGGUGCUUUUGAUCGAUUUUGACAUGAUACGUCGAAUCUGCAUGGAUGUUGUCUAAGAUUGAUCUAAUUUUGGUCGGUUUCUCAGCUGAAUCAGCUAGAAUCCGUUGAAAAUACUUGAGUUUAUUGAUUUUUGGGUGAAUUUUACACUACUUGAUGACCUCAAACUCAAAGGGAAGAAAAAAGAGGACGGAAGGAGAAGAAGAAAGAAAAGAGGAAAGUUGAGAUGGUGAAACGAUAAAAGAAAAAAGAGAAAACUGUGAUUGUGAUUCUAAAUCAGAGGAGGGAACAUUGCUUUUGCUUUGCUUGCUAUUCACUGCAUCCAUCCACUGCAUUUGUUGUUUGCUACUACAUCCAUCGGGUAGAAUAGAUGGAGGAUUACAGGCAAAAGGAAGAGGACAGAAGUAACCCAUAACCUAAUAUGAACUGUGCCUGCUCCUUAUAUUUAUUAAGUUUUAGCCAAUGAUUUUGAGACUUUGGAAAAUUGUGAACUAGUGAUUGCAUAGUGUCCAUAAUCAUGUAUACAUUGCAGAAGCACUUCUUAUUGUUUCGUCAGCAUCAGUAUAGAAUAGGCAGCAUGUUUGGUUGGUGCAAUCCGAUCAAUAAAAGAAAAUAUUUCACAGGUUUGUGGCUUGUGUUCGUGAGCCCUCUUCCCCUUACAUGCAAGCAUGAACGAUUGUUGUUGUCCGCUGUCCAUUGCUCUGUCAUUGAUUUCAGGUAUGCUUCCUCCACCUCUUCCUUCUGCUUCAUCCUCAUCCUCCACUAUUUACUCCUUUCUUCGUUUAACUCCUUACUCUUCCUUUUUUUUUUUGUCUUUCUCGAUGGUCUCAUCUUCUUUCUUCCUCUUUCUCCUCCCUACUCUUAAUACAUGGCUUUCUCUUUUUCUUCGUCCGCCUUCCUCUUUCUUCAUCCACUUUCAUUUGAUUCUUCCUUUUCGAGGCUUCAGAACAUACCGGUACAUAAUGUGUCAGUAUAUUGGUAUCUCAAUCUAUGGAUUGGUACGUAGCGGUCUGGGCAGAGACAGAUAAGUUACUAAUCAGUAAGAGACUAUAAACGCUGGUGCACUGCAAGCUUCAGUCGUACAAGUGCUCGACAACUUGGAAGAGUUUUCAUUUGCUGCUCAGUAUCUGCUACAAAGCUCUUCUAUCGUUAGCGGUGGAAGGUAAGUUUGUGUAUGUUAACACUACCCUGUAUACCACUGAAAAGUGCAUUUUACACAGAAUUAUGUUGUAUUGACGUUUUGGGGGAAAUUUUAGUUUAAAAUUUGCUGAAUUUGGCUCUUAUAAAAUGCAUUAACAGUUAAAAAAUGACAGCAUGAGUUGAUGAUUGCAUAGAUGUGAGCAAUAAGAUGCUAAAAUGGAUCCUAAUUCUACCUAAUAACUGGAUCAAAAUGAAAGUUUCAAUUAACCGGAUUAAUUCGUUGAUUAAAAUGAUCUAAAAAUUGUAUCCAAAUGGACGAAAUCGAUGAACCUUCUUAUCCUUCCAUGAAAAGAUAAUCCUCAAGGGGCAAAUGCAAGAUCGAAUCCGAUCAUACAACACCAUACAACACAUGAACCCUAAUCCUCAUGGAACGAGAUGGGUUAAACAAUGUGGACCUGGUUAGAAUUAAAUAUUUAUCCUAAUUUUAAUAACUAUUUAUAUAUAUUAUAUUUUGCAAUACCAACUGGAUCCGUGGCGCAAUGGUAGCGCGUCUGACUCCAGAUCAGAAGGUUGCGUGUUCGAUUCACGUCGGGUUCAACUUUACAAUAUUUUCACAUUUCGUUUUUGUUCCACUUGUGAUUGGAGCACUGAACGGCCCCACAAGUGGACCCCAUCCGAUUCUUACGCUCCUUUUCAAAUUUUCGAUUUCCUUUUUCUAUACCUUGUGAUUGGAUUACGGGACGGACCCACUAGUGGACCCCAUCGAUCAUAGCUCCCUUUCCUUGUGUGAGAAAUACAUUUAUAAAACACUAAUUUUAGCCUAAUUUCAAUCUAUCGAGAUGUCAAAAUAUCAGUAAAAAAGGAAGAAAAUUAGCUGAUAAAUGAACACAUGAAUAAAUUUGUGGCACAAAAUCUAGGUUCGAACAAUUACAUACAAUACGGUUUUAAAAAAUAACAUUAAUCUAAAUAUACACAAAUAUAUAUAUAUAUAUAUAUAUAUAUAUAUAUAUACCUCAUCCAAAUCCCCUUUCUUCCUGUCCCCAUUCUCCGUCCGCGAUACAUCGUCGUCGCUUUCCUUCGACAAAUGCGAAGAGAAGACAAAGAUUUGGAAUUCAACCGCUGGCCAAUUCGAAGCCCCAUUUGGUUUGGCUCCCCCCCUUCCGCCUUCCUCCCUUUUCUUGCUCCGAAUUAAAUCUUCUUAUGUGACGUUUGUCGUCUGAAACGACGAUUCUCUUUGGUAGCAUACAUUUGAUUCGUCUACACGAGGAGGAUUGUGGUUUGACUUAAAUGAGUACUGUGGGUUAUCAACUUGUUUUCAUGAUAAAGGGGAAUGACAAAGAAAGCCUGACAAAAUUGCCAACCAUGACAUGAAUCCCAACACAUUAUUAUGUUCCGCUGAAGUUUCAUUGGACUUAGCCUGAUUAAUUCUUUCAUUAAUUUGUUUAAUGCUUAUAAGGAGCAACAUACAGUUAGAUGACGUGUAGAAUGUAUCCAAAUUGUGAAAUUGGAGCUAUAAUUUCUCCCGUUGCACUACACAUUCGAUGACCUAGAAGUGGCAGAAAAUGAAAUAUAACUUUUACAUGGCAGUUUUAAUACUUAGAUGCAAGUGUUGGGAAUCUCAUUAGUUAUUGGAAUCGACAAGAUACUUUAUAUGAUCCACACGUCCGAUAAUAAUAAUGACCAAACACAUUUAUCAACUAGUCAUAAAUGAGAGACUUUUCAGAUAUUUAAAAUUAUUUUAAAUUGUUUUGAUGAUGAAAGAAAGCAUUAAGUAUACUUUUAAAAAAAAAUAAAGGAUUGAUGUUCCUUUUCUGGCCUAUCUAUACCAUUAAGGGAUAGACAUUAAGUUCCAUAAGACAUAGAAUAGAAGACACCAAUUGUUUCUUAAUAAAUUAAUCUAAGGAAUCCACUAUGUGAAUUAAUCAAAGGCUUAUUUUUGGACAACUAUGACUCAAGGUAAGUUUAUUUCGUUGCAUGUCCAUUAUAAAUCCAUUGUUUUGCUUACAACAAGAACAUUUCAAAUCUGUAUGUAUAUGAGUUUUCUGAUCUAUUGUUCUCAAUAUUAUUUUUUAAAACUACAUAGAAAGAAAACAAAAGUGGUGAAUAAAAAUGUAAUAUUUAGAUGGUAAUUUUAACUUUUAGAUACAAGUGCACUUCGAGCCUGUAUGCCUUUGCAUUUAAUAAUUAUUCUUUUUGAAUAUUGUUCUCCGACACUACUUAGAAAGAAAACAUAAGAAGGUGCUACAAAGGUGCAUACACAGACUUCUUGUAUCUGUGCUGCAAGAAGUACUUGUGACACUUGUUCUAUGGCACAAAAUGUGCUGUUGGUUUCUCUGGUACUUGAGUGACACACUAACCUCAGCUCUAGUAGAUCAUGUGUACAAUGUGAUCUUACAUGUUGUUGUUCCUUUUUUCAUUUUUUUUGUAAACUUGUUAUGUCCAAGGUUGUAUUACUCCUUUCUGUUCAAGAACAUGCGAAAAAUGCUGAUUAUUUCAGUGCUUUGACUUUUAUUUCAUGUCUCAACAUGCUUUGUAAUUAAUCUUUGACUAUUUGUUACAUGUGCUGUUGCUUACUGAUGGGGUCAAGGAUUUCAAAUAACGUUUGUGAUUGAAACUGAGGAUUUGAAAUAAUGUUUGUGACUGAAACUGAAUAGAUAGAUUUGUAAGGCAACAGAGAUUCUCUGAUGAACUCUAUCUCAACGAAUUGUCACGGACUUAGCUAGUUUUGCCUAAAUCGUGCGGCACCCUUGCGUGUCCGUCCAUAAAGGUCAGCCUCCCCGAAACCUCCAAUGAUCCCUUAGGACCUACAAAAGAGAAAACGGGUUAAAGAAAGUGCCUCACUCGGGAUCCACAAGCAAAAUAUCAGAAAACACAUCAUAGUCAAUGCAAAUUACAAACAUACUUUACAAGCUCCGAACGGUUGCACAACAAAGGAUUUAAAAUGGUCUACUACAGACCGAAAUCUCCUACAAGUGUCCAUAUGACACAACCUUUAUUUACAAACCUAAAACGACCACCCAAACCCAACUAAAAUGGGGUUGUUAAGCCUUCGACCGUCCUUCUAUAUGCUGUGCAAGGCAUGAACAUACCAAAAGACACAGACAUACGUAAGCAUUACAUCAAACAUCCUGUUUAGAAGUUUGUCCGUGACAUUCUUCCCCACCCAUUCCUUCGACGUCCUCGUCGAAGCCUUUGCGACAUUGCAACUCCUCAUCUUUGCUGAGUCUUCAAUCUAUUGAUCUAGCUGCAAUGCACCUCUUGGCUCCCAGCUACUCUCCGCUACUGUUAUUGAGUAGUUGAAUUUUUGAUCCGCCAUGCUGCUUCAACUCGCUAAUGACUCUGACUCUAGUGUGGGGUUGGCUGAGUUGUGUUGAUUCCUGUUGGUUCCUGCGGAUCCUUCAGAUGAAGGAAAAGACUAUCCUUACUUUGCGCCAGUCUCUCAAAUGACUCAUGCUGCUUGAACUGGGUGGAUGCUUGUUGGAGCUUUGACGAGCAUCGCCUCGCAAAAUUUUGAUGUUUUUAGGUCAUUCCUCCAUAAAAUUUGUCCAUCGACUCUUCUUUCACUUAGUUAUCCCUUCUAAGUAGGUUCGCAUCACUUCGCUUUCGAUUGACAUUUCGUUGGAAAAUAAAGCGGACAAUCUACUCUCAAUAGCACUGAUCACCAUUGAUGAGGAUUUAACAACUAUUGUCUUCCAUUAUCUUCGAAUGGUCUUUGAACCUGUGCAGAACUACUCUGUUGGAUAAAUAAGAGAAUUGGGGUACUCGGUUUCGCCCAUUCUCUUAAGAGUUGAGAAGACAAAGGUUACUUGACUUCACCCGCCUCCUCGAGGGUUGUACUCCAUGUAUCGAGCUGAUUACUGGCCUUCACCUGCUCUUUGCUCAGACUUCUGAAGCACUUGAAGUGUUUGCACUCCUUGCGUUGAGUUAGUUACUGUGAUUCACCAUCUCAAUGUUAUCUUAACUUCUAGAAUGCAGGAAGUUUUCACCCCAACUUGGAGUAAGUCUCUAGUAGUUUUGGUCGCCUCUAGGAUUGUACCGUCUUCUCCAUCAACCUUGUCGCCUACUCCACAGAGUAGCAAAGGUACAGUACCGCGUACUCCACAGAAGUCCUUCACUUUCGGCUAUCUUGAUGAGAAGCUCAUUAACACCGGUCUUACGAAGUUCCCUAGCCUCUACCCUUCAGCCUUGUCUCAGUACUUGGAGUUUGCCUCUACAUUCUCCACCUCCUCGGCCCCUUUCACGACCAAGCGUUCUCCCUCCAUGAGAACAAGGGAUCGAUGACUUCACGGAAGUCCCACUUCUGCGGUACUAUGGCACUGCCAUGCCCAUGGCCCUACUAUCCGUCACCUCAUAUCUGCAUCCCUUUUCUUCAUUAUCAGUAGAUCUGCCUCUGUGGCACUUCUUCGAGGCCACCUCCAUUCUAACCGAUGCUUUGUUUUGGGUAGCUAAGUCCCUUUGGACUCGUCGUCACUUCCUUGCCCCUUUCAACCCCCUACUUCAACACCUCUGUAUACUCCAAGCAGUUCCCCUUGGUCGACGGAAAGACAGACUGCAACUCUCAUGCAUGGCCUCUGCCAUCAUGUUGUAGGGUUUGCACCAAUUCUAUUCUCCUUAGUUUCCUUGGUAGCAACGUUCGCUUACUCGACCUUGUCCUUUGACUUGCCGGGCUCCCUUAAGUGAAUAUGAGCUCUAGAGUAGUCCAACUCUCCAACCGCUCCGAUCAUACCUCUGUAUGAUCAAGUCCCCUCAUGGGACUUCCUGGUACUUGCAUUCGAACUUUUCUUUCGAUGUUACACAACCCCCAUAUGCUGAUAACCAAGGCUUUCAUCCGAUAUAAUAUUCGAUGCAUGCACGGAAGACCCGCCUCUGCGAUACCAUGACAUUCACUCCUUGAAUUCAUAGCCUUUCUUACCACCGUGUUGUUCAUCGAAGUGGAACUCCCAGUAGCUCCCGAUCAUUCCUCCGUAUGAUAUAGUCCCUUACGGGAUUAUAUUCGUGUGUAUCGCAUUGCCACGAACUGUUCCACCACGAUCCGUUGCACCAUGUCGCCUUUUGGUGACAUCUCCAUUGCAUUCUGAUCCUUGUGGGAUGAACUCGGAUUGUGAUCCCUUCAUGUGUGACCUCUGCCAAUACAUCGUAGGGCCUCUUCAACUUUCAAUUUGUGUUCGCUCCUUUGGCAAUCAGUCUUUGUCCACUCGCUCUCGGGUCACACCUAGAUGAAGCACCACUCUAGGACAAUCUGUCACCUAGUAGCUCUCGAAGUCCACCGACUUCGCUGAAAUUGGUGCACUAUUGUCUAGAUCCUGGGUCUUUGAGCACCAUCAAGUAUGGUUGCCAACGUUGAGUCGUAGCUCAAACUCAGCCAUCCUAACCUUUGUGCGCUACGCAUUCUUUUCAACUUGCUUGUCCUCGUGGUGCCUCUUGCGCGAAGGGUUGGCCAUUCCUCUAAAUGCCACUCUCAGAUGCCCGCUCCUCUGAACGACUCCUUUUCCCUACAUCUUCAUGCCCGUUCUCCCCAAAACGGUCGCGCGUGCUGGCUGCCCUCAAUGCAGCCCCGCUAGGUCCCCCACGUUUGCAUGCCAAGUAUUUCUAUGAGUGCUUGUCUCGCUCUGAUACCAUCUGUCAUGGACUUAGUUGGUUUUGCCUAAGUCGUACGGCACCCUUACGUGUCCGUCCGCAAAGGUUAGCCUCCCUGAAACCUCUCAUGGUCUCUUAGGACCUACAAAAGAUAAAACGAGUUAGAGAAAGCGCCUCACUCGGGAUCCACAAGCAAACAUCUCAGAAAACACAUCAUAGCCAAUGCAAAUUACAAACAUACUUUACAAGCUCCGAACCGUUGCACAACAAAGGAUCCAAAAUUGUCCAUUACAAAUCGAAAUCUCUCACAAGUGUCCACAUAACAUAACCUUUAUUUACAAGCCUAAAACAACCAUCUAAACCCAACUAAAAUGAGAUUGUUAAGCCUUUGACCGUCCCUCUAUAUGCUUUGCAGGGUAUGAAUAUACCAAAAGAUACGGACAUACAUAAGCAUUACAUCAAACAUCCUAUUUAGAAGUUUGUCCGUGACAGAAUGGCUGUUAUAAUAUUUUGGUCUUUGUUAUAUACAUAUUUACAUGAAUUUUUCCUGUGAAAUUUAGUUUUGUGGUAUAAAGCACUAUUAUCAGCAUGGUUUCUUUACUGUUUAUCUAUAUCUAUAAUGUUUCAUGUUGUGUUUUUCUUGGACUGCUCAUUCAGUGCUGUUAAUUCCCUGCUUUUCAGUUUUUCACAAGGAAUCAAUAUUCUUGACCUUACAUGCGAUUCAAUUAUAGGCUUUUGGAAUUGUUCCUCCAUACUGAAACAUUAGCAUUUUUGUGACAAUGGAAAAUUUGAUUUGUUAUUCUUAUUUUUUGUAUUUCUUGGAGUUUUAAAGUAUGACAUUGGUAUGGACUUCAAAGUAAAUUGAACGGUGCAAUUCUGUAGUUCUGUACUAGAUGCCCUUAGUUCUGGAAGAUGAUGGACUGAAGUAGGUGCAGUGGCAUUGAUAUCACAUCACACACAGGUUCUUAAUGCUAAAGCCCACGCUGCUAAUUUUGUGGCCUUUACAUCUCCUAUCAUUUUUCUGCACUUUCUUCCUUUAGUUGUUGUCUAUGUCAUGUUUGCUAAUAUUCAUAAUCAAUAGAAGACUAUAAUAUAGUAUUCUAAGGUUAUGCUGUUUUUUGUCGACCUUCAGGGUUCUUUUUCAACACAUUCACUGAGUUGUAGUGCGUCAAGUAGAAGGGCAAUUGUGAGGUCCUUGAUUGUUCAGUUGCUGUAUAAAACACUUGUUUGUGCCCCUGAAGCAUCAUUUUGAAUUUAGGUAAGACUUCAAAACGAAUGUGUUCGAAAGGAAUAUGACCAUUUUUACCAUAGUUGUUAUUGGCUUUAAAAAAUAACAGAGGUAGUUUUUUAAGAUAAAGGAAUACAUGCUAUGGAUUGUUAAUUUUACUAGAGUAAUUGUUACUUGUAGGCUUGUUUAAUUUAAUGUUGCCCAAUAUCACUAUAUCCCCUCUUUGCAGCUAUCUAUGAUUGGAUCUAGAAUCAGGUUCAGAGUACUUUGCUUCCUGGAUUUGCAGUGGUACAUGUCCGGAAUGCAGAAAUUUGUUGUUUGGUUUCAUUGCUAUGGUUACCAUGUUAUCCAAAAUGAAUGGUCUAAUCCACAAAACUCACCCCCGCAGUUUGAAGAAGGUUAACAUAUUCAGCCUUACCUAUACAAAUAAAGAGGUCAUUUCCAUUGACUUUACAAACCUAAGUUGAGGACAAAAAGUCAAACUCAUCAUGGAGAUAAGGCCAACCUUUGAAGUCAUUUUUAUUAUAACAUUUUUCCUCCCACUAUUCAGUAUCUUGUUGGGACGUUUCUCACUAUUCAGUAUCUUGUUAGGACAUUUCUUAAGCUUAAAAAAUUUGGAAUUUGAACAUCGUCUCUGAUUUUUAUUCUGCUGUUAGUGUUACAUUUACUUUGUUCGCUAUAAACGGUGUAGAUUGGUAAUUGUCUUUGACUCUUUGUUUGGUUAAAUAUAUUGCAGUGUUGUUGAAAAUGUUUAGCUUAUGAUAAAACUUUUGGUGACUUUAUGGUGAAAAUUUGCAAUCAACUGAAUGAAUGCAUUCCUCUUGAUGACAUCGUGAUACAGUAUUGAAUGUGGAAGUGUACUGCCAAAGUGAUAGUGACCUUUUGUUGCCCGUGUUAUGAUGACCAGUUGAUUUUGCAAGAGGCAAAUCAUAUCUUACAAAUGGGUAUGGUAUAAGAUAACAGACAUGAUAGUAUACCUUACAUGCUGAUAUUGGCUGACAUGGAGGCCUAACAUUUUCAGAACCACGUGAAUAGAUGUUGGUGGAUUACUUUUUAUAGUUUUGAUUUUUUGGAACCUUUUUAUGUGCUUAUCUAUCAUAAAAUGGAACAAAUAAGUUUUGAUAGCAAGGAAUUUCUAUUUGUUUUUGGGCCAUUGUAUGGAAUAAAUAAGUUUUGAUAGAAGGAUUUUGUGGCACACAUCUUUUUCAAAUAAAUGGUCUUAGUUAAGGAAAGUUGAGAUUGAAUUCCAAAUACCAUUCAGUCAGCUAACACCCCAUGGUGCCUUAUUUUCUUUUCGUUCAAGAAUUUCGACUUCUUUUACUCUUUUGAUCGGCUUAGUUAGUUAGUAUUUGUUGAUAAGAUCUAUCACUAUGUUUAGAUUCCUUGGUCUUACCACUUCAAUUGAGGAUCCAACCUAACUCCAUGAGGUUGACUACGAUGGGCAAAUUUCAUCAUAAAAAACAGGUUAUUAAAUAUAUGUGUACUAGCCUUUGGCAUAUUAUUUUUCAUCGUAGUCUUUUGGAGGACAAUAAAAUGAAUUUUUUGUCCAUUUUUUAUGAGUAUGUGUUUCUUCAGUAGUUUGGUAUCAUGAAAUUAAUUUUAGGUACCCAUGAAAUAGUUUGUAUUAAAGAAUAUUUUGGUUGUUCAAGGUGUUGGGCGCGGAGCGAACCUCGAUUGAAGCUCGGGUCUAUCAUCAAUUUGAUGUUGGGAGACAAGUAGGUUUGGUAGAAGAUCCUACAAAACUAAAAAAGGGGCAUGCCCGACAAAAGCCUUUCCAAAGUAUAGUUGGAGAAACGUAACAUUUGCUUCAAAGGGUUCAAAAGGGGUGUUAAGUGACUUGCUCUUAGGGUUUCGAGGGUUUUUUUGCCUUUUAGGCGUAGUCGGAGAGGAAGGGAAUACGGUGUUGGUGACGGUUUGUGUCUUCGGACAAGAAGAGGAGACCGAUGAAGAGGUCACCGGCAUUCUCUCUCUUCUCCAAAACCCUCUGCUUCAUCUAUCGCCCUCGUCCCGCCGAUGCUCUACUUUCCUCCUCCUCCUCUUACUCCGUCGCCGCUACCGGAAGCGGAGCUCUUCAGCCCAGCAUCAUGGCCGAAUACCUCGUCACGUCAUGUGGCUUCUCCCCGGAGAAUGCGACCAAGGCCUCGAAUCUUCUCGGCGGCAUCACGUCCCGCCGGCAGCCCGACUCCGUCCUUGGCUUUCUCAAAAGCCACGGUUUCGACGACACCCAUAUGAAAGACCUGCUGUCUUGGAACCCCCGGUGUCUUCUCCUCGACGUGGAGACGACCCUAGCUGCCAAGUUCCGAUCUCUCCAGGAGUUAGGCUUCUCGCAGUCCGACAUCACCCACCUCGUCCUGGCCAAUCCCUUCGCAAUCAACUAUGACGUCCGCACCGUGGUGCACAAGAUCCGGUUUUGGCAGGGACUCAUCGGAUCCAACGACGUCCUCGUAAAUCUCUUUAAGAGCCGCCGGUGGUUUCUCGGGUUUAGCAUCGAGAAGAGGAUCCAGCCAAACAUCGAGAUGCUACGGAGCUGUGGAAUCACGGAUCAAAAGCUUAGAACGAUCCUGAGGUACCGGCCCACGAUGGUAACCCAGAGGGCGGAAACCUUGAGGGCUUUGAUCAGUCGUGUCGAGGGAUUCGGAGUACCCCGCACUUCGGGGAGGUUCCACUGGACUCUGUUGAUGCUCUCCACUCUUAGCGUGGAGAGAUGCAAUGCGCAAAAGAAGCUAUUCGAGGCCUUCGGGUGGUCAGAGGCCGACUUCCUCGAUGCAAUCAGAAAGACUCCUUUUUUCUUGACAGGUUCCCUGAAGAAUCUGAAGAUGAAAAUGGAAUUCUUGGUGAAUGAGGCUGGAUAUGCUCCGUCUUAUAUCGCCCUCCGGCCUGUGCUCUUGACACUUAGUUUAGAGAAAAGGUUGAUCCCAAGAUAUCAGCUCAUGGCAGCCCUGAAGUCCAGGGGGCUGUGCGCUGGUCAUCCCAAAUCGGUCACAUAUAUGCUGUGUCCAGAGAAGAAGUUCUUGGAAAGGUAUGUCAUCAUCUACAAGAAGCAGUUUCCGGAGCUCAUUGAAUUGUACAGUGCGAGAAAAUAGUAGUUCUGGAUUAGCUAGCUGUAGGUUUUGGCUCCUGCAAUCCAUGGUUUCUGGUUCCAGCCUUUUACUCUCUGCUUAACUUGAUCUGCAGUUUGAGACUUAUUAGUAAUAUGAUUUAUGUCAUUUGCUUCCUUUUUUUCUGGUGCAUUAAGAGGAAUGUAGCUGCAUACAUGUAGAAAGAAAGGAAAGCAAUAUGAAGUGGAACACAAUGACUUCUUGUAGCAUGUUGAUUCGGUCAAUUGUUUCCUGAUAAUUUCCUGCAUAGGAAAAAUUAUAUACUCUAGGAAUUUGUAGGAAUUGAUACUGUUGUCCCAUUCUUUUUUUUAACCUACUUCUGGGAACACAUUUGGCAGACAUGUGUGCUUGUGUGUGUGUGUGUGUGUGUCGUAGACUAUGAAACUGAAACCAAUUCUUUGUUUGAUCUAUGGCUCUCCUUGAUGUGCAUUGAAGUAGAUGCUUUGCUUAUGUUGUAGCUGAUAUCAUUAUGUUAUCAUGAAAAAUUUUGUCAUAACCCGGGCCUGAUAGGCUAACUGAUCUAUCAACUUCGUUUGGUCUAAACCACUGAUUAAAAUGUUUAAGCUGAAGUUAAUAAUAGUACACUCAUCAGACUCUUAUAAGUCAAUCUUAAUCUUGCCCACUUCCGAUUAGGGACAAAUCAGGGGUGUUACAAAUUUUGAGAUGAUGGUUUCAAAGGUCACAUUACUAUUACACUAUGGAGUUAUAUGGUUGCAUCCUUUUUUUCUCCUUUUAAUGAAAAAUUGGUGCUUUGCAAUUAGCUACUAGUGAAGUUCAUGUUUAUUUUGAUACGAUACGUCGAAUCUACGUGGAUGUUGUCUAAGAUUGAUCUAAUUUUGGUCAAUUUCUCAGCUGAAUCAGCUAUAAUCGUUUGAAAAUACUUUGAGUUUAUUGAUUUUUGGGUGAAUUUUACACUACUUGAUGACCUCAAACUCAAAGGGAAGAAAAAAGAAAGACGGAUGGAGAAGAAGAAAGAAAAGAGGAAAGUUGAGAUGGUGAAAAGAUAAAAGAAAAGAGAGAAAACUGUGAUUGUGAUUCUAAAUCAGAGGAGGGAACAUUGCUUUUGCUUUGCUUGCUAUUCACUGCAUCCAUCCACUGCAUUUGUUGUUUACUACUCCAUCCAUCGGGUAGAAUAGUGGACCCCAUCGGUCUUAGCUCCCUUUCCUUCUGUGAGAAAUACUUGUUAAUGAUUUAUACAACACUAAUUUUAGCCUAAUUUCAAUCUAUCGAGAUGUCAAAAUAUCAGUAAAAAAAGAAGAAAAUUAGCUGAUAAAUGAAUACGUGAAUAAAUUUGUGGCACAAACUCUUGUCUCGUCACAGAACCAUCGUAUAGUUGUACUAAGAUAAUAACAUUAAUCUAAAAAUCCAUACACAAAUAGAUAGAUUAUAUAUAUAUAUAUAUAUAUAUAUAUAUAUAUAUAUAUAUAUAGACACACACACGCACAAACCUCAUCCAAAUCCCCUUUCUCUGUCCCCAUUCUCCGUCCGCGAUACAUCGUCGUCGCUUUCCUUCGACAAAUGCGGAGAGAAGACAAAGAUUUGGAAUUCGACCGCUGGCCAAUUCGAAGCCCCAUUUGGUUUGGCUCCCCCCUUUCCUCCUUCCUCCCUUUUCUUGCUCCGAAUUAAAUCUUCUUAUGUGACGUUUGUCGUCUGAAACGACGAUUCUCUUUGCUAUCAUGCAUUUGAUUCGUCUACACGAGGAGGAUUGUGGUUUGAAUUAAAUGAGUACUGUGGGUUAUCUACUUGUUUUCAUGAUAAAGGGGAAUGACAAAGAAAGUCUGACAAAAAUGCCAACCAUGACAUGAAUCCCAACACAUUAUUAUGUUCCGCUGAAGUUUCAUUGGACUUAGCCAGUGUAAUUCUUUCAUUAAUUUGUUUAAUGCUUAUAAGGAGCAACAUACAGUUGGAUGACGUGUCCAAUGUAUCCAAAUUGUGAAAUUGGAGCUAUAAUUUCUCCCGUUGCACUACACAUUCGAUGACCUAGAAGUGGCAGAAAAUGAAAUAUAACUUUUACAUCGCAGUUUUAAUACUUAGAUGCAAGUGUUGGGAAUCUCAUUAGUUAUUGGAAUCGACAAGACACUUUAUAUGAUCCACAUGUCCAAUAAUAAUAAUGACCAAACACAUUUAUCAACUAGUCAUAAAUGAGAGACUUUUCAGAUAUUUAAAAUUAUUUUAAAUUGUUUUGAUGAUGAAAGAAAGCAUUAAGUAUACUUUAAAAAAAAAAUAAAGGAUUGGUGUCCCUUUUCUGGCCUAUCUAUACCAUCAAGGGAUAGACAUUAAGUUCCAUAAGACAUAUAUUAGAAGACACCAGUUGUUUCUUAAUAAAUUAAUCUAAGGAAUCCAAUAUGUGAAAUAAUCAAAGGCUUACUCUUGGACAACUAUGACUCAAGGUAAGUUUAUUUCGUUUCAUGUCCAAUAUAAAUCCAUUGUUUUGCUUACAACAAGAGCAUUUCAAAUCUGUAUGUAUAUGAGUUUUCUAAUCUACUGUUCUCAAUAUUAUUUUUUAAAACUACAUAGAAAGAAAAGAAAAGUGGUGGAUAAAAAUGUAAUAUUUACAUGGUAAUUUUAACUUUUAGAUACAAGUGCACUUCGAGCCUGUUUGCCUUUGCAUUUUAUAAUUAUUCUUUUUGAAUAUUGUUCUUCAACACUACUUAGAAAGAAAACACAAGAAGGUGCUACAAAGGUGCAUACACAGACUUCUUGAAUUUUUGCUGCAAGAAGUACUCGUGACACUUGUUUUAUGGCACAAAAAGUGCUGUUCGUUUCAAUGGUACUUGAGUGACACACUAAACUCAGCUCUAGUAGAUCAUAUGUACAAUGGGAUCUAACAUGCUGUUGUUCCUUUUUUCAUGCUUUUUGUAAACUUGUUAUGUCCAAGGUUGUAUUACUCCUUUCUGUUCAAGAACAUGCGAAAAAUGCUGAUUAUUUCAGUGUUUUGACUUUUAUUUCAUGUCUCAACAUGCUUUGUAAUUAAUCUUUAAUUAUUUGUUACAUAUGCUGUUGCUUACUGAUGGGGUCAAGGAUUUCAAAUAACGUUUGUGAUUGAAACUGAGGAUUUGAAAUAAUGUUUGUGACUGAAACUGAACAGAUAGAAUUGUAAGGCAACAGAGAUUCUCUGAUGAACUCUAUCUCAACGAAUGGCUGUUAUAAUAUUUUGGUCUUUGUUAUAUACAUAUUUACAUGAAUAUUUCCUGUGAAAUUUAGUUUUGUGGUAUAAAGCACUAUUAUCAGCAUGGUUUCUUUAUUGUUUAUCUAUAUCUAUAAUGUUUCAUGUUGUGUUUUUCUUGGACUGCUCAUUCAGUUCUGUUAAUUCCCUGCUUUUCAGUUUUGUUUCUGUCCUCUCUCUAUAUGUGUUUUCCACAAGGAACCAAUAUUCUUGACCUUACAUGCUAUUCAAUUAUAGGCUUUUGGAAUUGUUCCUCCAUACUGAAACAUUAGCAUUUUUGUGACAAUGGAAAAUUUGAUUUGUUCUUCUUAUUUUUUGUAUUUCUUGGAGUUUUAAAGUAUGACGUUGUUAUGCACGUGAAAGUAAAUUGAACGGUGCAAUUCUGCAGUUCUGUACUAUAUGCCCUUAGUUCUGGAAGAUGAAGGACUGAAGUAGGUGCAAUGGCAUUGAUAGCACAUCACACACAGGUUCUUAAUGCUAAAACCCAUGCUGCUAAUUUCGUAGCCUUUACAUCCCCUUUCAUUUUUCUGCACUUUCUUCCUUUAGUUGCUGUCUAUGUCAUGUUUGCUAAUAUUCAUAAUCAAUAGAAGACUAUAAUAUAGUAUUCUAAGGUUAUGCUGUUUUUUGUCAACCUUCAGGGUUCUUUUUCAACACAUUCACUGAGUUGUAGUGCAUCAAGUAGAAGGGCAAAUGUGAGGUCCUCGAUUGUUCAGUUGCUGUAUAAAACACGUGUUUGUGCCCCUGAAGCAUCAUUUUCAUUUUAGGUAUGACUUAAACACGAAUGUGUUCGAAAGGAAUAUGACCAUUUUUGCCAUAGUUGUUAUUGGCUUUAAAAAAUAACAGAGGUAGUUUUUUAAGAUAAAGGAAUACAUGCUAUGGAUUGUUAAUUUUACUAGAGUAAUUGUUACUUGUAGGCUUGUUUAAUUUAAUGUUGCCCAAUAUCACUAUACCUCCUCUUUGCAGCUAUCUAUGAUUGGAUUUAGAAUCAGGUUCAGAGUACUUUGCUUCCUGGAUUUGCAGUGGUACAUGUCCGGAAUGCAGAAAUUUGUUGUUUGGUUUCAUUGCUAUGGUUACCAUGUUAUCCAAAAUGAAUGGUCUAAUCCACAAAACUCACCCCCGCAGUUUGAAGAAGGUUAACAUGUUCAGCCUUACCUAUACAAUUAAAGAAAGAGGUCAUUUCCAUUGACUUUACAAACCUAAGUUGAGGACAGAAAGGCAAACUCAUCAUGGAGAUAAGGCUAACCUUUGAAGACAUUUUUAUUAUAACAUUUUUCCUCCCACUAUUCAGCAUCUUGUUGGGACAUUUCUCACUAUUCAGUAUCUUGUUAGGACAUUUCUUAAGCUUAAAAAAUCUGGAAUUUGAACAUCGUCUCUGAUUUUUAUUUUGCUGUUAGUCUUACAUUUACUUUGUUUGGUAUAAACGGUGUAGAUUGGUAAUUGUCUUUGACUCUUUGUUUGGUUAAAUAUAUUGCAGUGUUGUUGAAAAUGUUUAGCUUAUGAUAAAACUUUUGGUGACUUUAUGGUGAAAAUUUGCAAUCGACUGAAUGAAUGCAUUCCUCUUGAUGACAUCGUGAUAUAGUAUUGAAUGUGGAAGAGUACUGCCAAAGUGAUAGUGACCUUUUGUUGCCUCUGUAUUAUGAUGACCAGUUGAUUUUACAAACUAGACCAUUAUAGUUUGGCUGAUUGAUUUUGCAAGAGGCAAAUCAUAUCUUACAAAUGGGUAUGGUAUAAGAUAACAGACAUGAUAGUAUACCUUACAUGCUGAUAUCGGCUGACAUGGAGGCCUAACAUUUUCAGAACCACAUGAAUAGAUGUUGGUGGAUUGCUUUUUAUAGUUUUGAUUUUUUGGAACCUUUUUAUGUUCUUGUCUCUCAUAAAAUUGAAUAAAUAAGUUUUGAUAGAAGGAUUUUGUGGCACACAUCUUUUUCAAAUAAUUGGUCUUAGUUAAGGAAAGUUGAGAUUGAAUUCCAAAUACCAUUCAGUCAGCUAACACUGCAUGGUGCCUUUUUUUCUUUUCGUUCAAGAAUUUUGACUUCUUUUACUCUUUUGAUCGGCUUAGUCAGUUAGUAUUUGUUGAUAAGAUCUAUUGCUAUGUUUAGAUUCCUUGGUCUUACCACUUCGAUUGAAGAUCCAACCUAACUCCAUGAGGUUGACUACGUUGGGCAAAUUUCAUCAUAAAAAAUAGGUUAUUAAAUAUAUGUGUACUAGUCUUUGGCGUAUUAUUUUUCAUCGUUGUCUUUUGGAGGACAAUAAAAUGAAUUUUUUAUCCAUUUUUUAUGGGUAUGUGUUUCUUUAGUAGUUUGGUAUCAUGAAAUUAAUUUUAGGUACCCAUGAAACAGUUUGUAUUAAAGCAUAUUUUGGUUGUUCAAGGUGUUGGGCGCGGAGCCAACCUCGAUUGAGUAGGUUAGGUAGAAGAUCCUACAAAACUAAAUCAGAGGCAUGCCCGACAAAAGUCUUUCCAAAGUAGAGCUGGAGAAAUGUAAUAGUUGCUUUAAAGGGUUCAAAGGGCUGUUAGGUGACUUAGCAUACCUAGGACAUUUUAUAUAAAGCUUUGGUAAUCGUCAAUAUUAAGUGGGAAGUUAAUUUGUGGAAUUAUUAAGCGUUACUCGAUCGUGGAGAGUUAACCAAACCAUCAGGACAUUUCCAUUAGCAUAGUCGUGCGAACUUGGUAUAUUAUAGUUGUCCAAUGUGUUGGGCCAUGGAGCUAACCUUGAUUCAAGCUUGGGUCUAUUGUCAGUUUAAUCUCGCUAGAUGAUUGGGUUCAAUAGGGGCAUAUGCAAAAUUUAGUCGGGGACAUACCAAACAAAAGUCUUUGAUGCUUAUGUUAGUAUAUCUAGAGAAAUGUAAUGUAGGAUUCGGAGGUUUCAAAGAGCACUACCUAGGGCUUUUUAAUAAGGGUUUUGAUUACCAUCAAAAUUAAGUGGUUUCGUUGGAUUGUUGGGUGUUACUCGGAUGUGAGGAGUCACUCAAACCGUUAAGAGAUAUAUGGCAGCUUCAUGGCUGGAUUUGACCAUAUUAGAGAUACAGGGAGUUUCGUGGCUAGAUUCGAUCGCAUUCGGGAUAGAGAAUAAUUCAUUAUCAUAUUCCAUUACAUCGUUGAUAAAGGAUACUUUAUGGUCAUAUUCGGCCACGUUGGAGAAAUGAUGCUUCAUGUCGAAGUCAAUUGCAUCGAGGGCUCGAGAUGCAUCUUGGCAACAUCAUCAAGCUUUUUUUAUCGUUUUUCUACCACAAGCCACUCCAACUACAAGCUCGACUUACCUUUGUUCUACAAUUGAAAUACGAUUUGCUUUAGUAACAACGUCAUAUUAAUUUUUGAUGAUUUGACAUUUUUGCCCUGAUACUUGAUCUUUUAUGUUUGAUUGGGGCCUUCCAUAUCGUGCACCACUCAAAUUAACGAAAAAGCUAAGGAUAAGGUAGUGAAGGCCUAACAAUGCCUGACCCCUAUAAAAGGGAGCCUUAGUUGUAUCUGAGCUUCCUACUUUACAAAGCCACCAUCUUUGAUACUAAACAAACAGGUGGCUGCAGUCUGUGGGCAAAGGCAUCCAUGGAAGCCACCUUCUUCAUUUUAGUAGGUAAAAGCAGUUAACCUUACCUGUCUUCCCCACCCGAUGAACAGCUUCCUUGAAGCUUCCUACAGUUUCUUGCACUCAGCUGAUUGGACUCAGAAAAUAAAUAUUUCAUCUUAUUUAAUGUCAGUUUUCAGAAUUAUAUACCCUCAGCAACCUUUUUUUUUUUCUAUUCAAGGACAUAAAACUGCUUUGUUGAUAAAUUUUGCUGUUAAUCUCGAGUUUUGGUAAAUUGAGAGCUAUGUCAUGAUGUCUUUAGAACUAAAUUUGGCACAACAGGAUAAAUUUCUAGCAUGCUUCUUAACCCUAAUGUUAGAAACCUAGUGGAUUCAGGUACAUGUUGCAUGAAACUCCACACACUCAUCAGGCUUGAUUGAAUUUUUAUGAGACUCACAUCGUGACAUCCAAGUUGAUGCUAAUUUAAUGAUUUAGUUUGAGGAGUCAUUACAUCCAAAUGCGAGCUUACUCAACGCACUUGAUCAGUGUCAUAGGAAACAUAUAUAUUAUCAUGAUAGAGUAUGAAAGCUUAGAUUAGGUAUAUAAAACACUAAGUGAUAGACAGAGUAGUAUCAGCAUGAAUAUGAAUGUUAGCUAGAUAUAUAAUUCAUGGUGUAGGAUUCAUGACAAAGGAGGUGAGUUGUACAUUAAAAGUUGUCUUAGUUGCCCAGUGAAGAAAAAAAAGGCUUUUUCAUUAAGUUCAUGAACCUGAAACACUGGUCCAAAGUGUUUAUUCAUUUAUUUUAUGAGCCUUGAAGUAUUUUUUUGUUCAUCAUCUCGACCCAGUCUGAUAACUUAUUAAUUUGAUGAGUAUGAAACACUAAUUCAAAGCACUUGCAUCCAUAUUAAUGAAAAUAGACUUAUUUAACAAUCUGCCCCACUUAUGUUUAACAUAUUGAACUUUACACUCAGCCAUCUUUUCUGGUUUGGGUACCUCAUCAUGCCCAUUAAUAAAUCCCCCUUGAUAUGAUUUGUCACAACUUGAUCUGAGGAGAUAUCUUAAUAACAUUAUGAAUCUGAACUAAGUGCUUAGGCCAAAGUUAAUAACGAUAAACUUAUGUAGCUCUAUAUACCAAUUUGAUUGAGCUGUUGUAUGUGAUGUAGAUCUAAACAUGCGGCAUCACAUUCUUUUAUCCUGCUAUAAAUGCUCCUCAUCUUCAUGGCUUCACCUAAACAUCACUUGAAGUCCUCACAAGAACAGCCAUGUCUUCUCUUGGAGCCAGCUAUGCUUACAUCCAUGAACUGAGGAAACGCUGCAAGGAAAUGGAGAGGAAGAAGACAGAUGGUGGUGUGGCCACAGAGGAGAAGAGCUCCAAGGGAAGAGUUCAUCCUAGUGACACCCCUUCACCAGUGUGUCGUGAAGAACGAGGUGAAGGUAAUUGUUGGAGAAGCUCGGUCACCAAAUAAAUCCCCAAAAAAGAAAGAUGAUGAAUUAUUGGGUGUUGAUGGGGGGCUUGUUUUACAUUUAGACAAUGCUAUGUCCACAUAUAUAUAUUUUGCCUUCCAAUGUUCCAAGUCUCUUUAGUAGGGAAAUGUGGGAGGAAUAAUCAUCCAAUUGUUUUCUUUUUCUCUACCUAGAUACGACAGAAAUAGAUGUUGCUUUCAUUAUUAACAUAGUCAGGUUCAUAGCCAUAUGGAAGUUUUUUUAAUGAAUAUUUUUCUUCUAUCAUAUCAAAUUGCACACAAGAUACAAGCUCAACAAUGGAUGGUAAUAUUAUGGAAUAAUCACAUUUAUGGCCAACUAAGGAUCAGAAUAUUUUAAGGAUGGUAAUAUGUAUCCUAGAGAUUAUCCAAACUCAACAAUGAAGACAACAACAAUUGAAGUUUGUAUGCGGGUUUCAAUUUUACUUAUAACUUAAAUUCAUCUUUGAUAAGAAUGAUCUCUCAGCUGAUUGUUAGGGUUGACAAGUAUUUUAAAAAUAAAUUUAUUUGGAGGAUAAAAAAUUUAAAUUUUAUGAAAAGAAAUUUUUGUGAAUCAGAGUUUAGUUGUCUUGUAAAUAUCUAAUAUAUCUCAACGUCUUAACAAGACAUCAUGAAAAAAAAAAAAAAAAAAAAAAAACCCUUGGUGGUGAUAAUUUUAUACUGAUAAUUUUGAGCUUUUAUCUAUCAGAUUAUUUUAAUGUCCCUCAGACAACUUUUUGCUCGUGUCAAUCGAUCCUGUUGCCCAAGUGCAAGAAUUCUGGCAUCUUGAUACUGAAUUUGCUCCUUUUUUUUUCUUUUGUUUUCUUCUAUUUCCGUUCUUUGGGUUGUAGACUUUGUGCUCUAAUUUUGAGUUGGAUUUCCUAUAGUCUGAAAAGCUAUUGCUCUUCUUCGUUCAUAAUCAGCCAUAUUUUUGCUCCUUUGGCUUUCAGAAUCUGGUUGGAGCAAGCAAGUUCUUUUAUGGAUGUCAUCUUUGGCAUGGAUUGACGACCUCCAAGCAGAAGCAUUCCUCUGAUCUGAUCACCAGGCCUACUCAAUCGUGGUCCUCGAUGAACAUGAGAUAAAAGUACCUUGGCCUGCUUACAAAGUACAAGCUUCCAAGUGCAAGCUUCCUCUUGUUAACUCAAACAUAGACUGGAGUAGCUUUAAGAGGAUACCAGCUACUCCUAGAGUCCUUAACUUUCUGCUUAGAACUUCAUAGAACACAUUUUCUCAUUUCGGACAGACUUGCUGCUUUAAAUAUUUCCUUACUUCAUCAAUUUUGGUGCUGCAGAAUAUGAGACUGAAUCCAUCCAUAAAAGAUCGUAUCUUCUUUUCUUGUCAAUUUGCUCGAGAGUUUUGGAACUACUUUCAGAUCCAUUUGAAUGAAAUUUUAAUUUCAUUGCAGCUUUUAAAUGAUUAAAAUAUUUUUAUUUAGACAGAUUACAAAUCAUAUCGGUUUUUCUUGUUAUCAGUUAAACAAAGUUGAAGGUUUAUUAUGAUAAAUUUAUAUAUAUAUCUUAUUAUGAUGAUGGAUUGUGGUCUGAAAUCCAUCUAAUUAAUUUGUAUGCAUAAAUAUUUUAUCCAAUGAGUUUAUACAUCUAAAUUAACAAAAAAAUUGGUCUAAUAAUUUUAUCUAAAAUAUUCUAUCCAAUUUAUUGAGAAUAUUAACUUCCAUCUGCGAAUUCUCUCUCCACCGCUUGCUCUUAGGGUUUCGAGGUUUUUUGCUUUUUAGGCGCAGUCGGAGAGGAAGGGAAUACGGUGUUGGUGACGGUUUGUGUCUUCGGACAAGAAGAGGAGACCGAUGAAGAGGUCACCGGCAUUCUCUCUCUUCUCCAAAACCCUCUGCUUCAUCUAUCGCCCUCGUCCCGCCGAUGCUCUACUUUCCUCCUCCUCCUCUUACUCCGUCGCCGCUACCGGAAGCGGAGCUCUUCAGCCCAGCUUCAUGGCCGAAUACCUCGUCACGACAUGUGGCUUCUCCCCGGAGAAGGCGACCAAGGCCUCGAAUCUCCUCGGCGGCAUCGCGUCCCGCCGGCAGCCCGACUCCGUCCUUGGCUUUCUCAAAAGCCACGGUUUCGACGACACCCAUGUGAAAGAGCUGCUGUCUGGGAACCCCCGGUGGCUUCUCCUCGACGUGGAGACGAACCUGGCCGCCAAGUUCCGAACUCUCCAGGAGUUAGGCUUCUCACAGUCCGACAUCACCCACCUCGUCGUGGCCAAUCCCUCCGCAAUCAACUGUCGCGUCCCCACCAUGGUGCACAAGAUCCGGUUUUGGCAGGGACUCAUCGGAUCCAACGACCUACUCAUAAAGGUCUUUAAGCGCCGCCAGUGGAUUCUCG
rnacentral:lncRNA from 1 species